GCCAUGGCGCUGGCCCCAGCCCCGGUCCCGGUGCCGGUGCCGGUCCCGGCCGGGCCCCCGGCGGGCGGCACCUCGGCGGGGGACAUGGAGCGCUACUACCGCCUGCUCCGCACCGCCGCGCUGCUGGAGGCCGCCGCCGAAACUGCAAUUCCCAUCUGUGCAAAGGACAUCAGUGAUGAUCUGAUGAAAGAGUUUGCUUUUCUGUCUGGUGGAAGAGGGAAGGACAAGGCUUGGAUCAUCACCCUCCCCGACAACGCUCGCUUCAACGAGGUGCCCGAGGAGAACGUGGCCAGAGUCUUGACGUACCUGACCUCAGUGCCCAGUCAACAUGAGUCUGACACUAAAUUUAUCCUAAUCCUGGAUAGAAGACUGGACACAUGGACAUCUGUCAAAACAACUCUCCAAAAAAUAGCAGCAUCCUUCCCAGGGAACCUGCACUUGGUGAUGGUUCUCCGUCCCACCGGCUUUUUCCAGCGCACCUUCACUGACAUUGGAUUUCGGUUCAGUCAGGAGGAUUUCCUGCUCAAGUUACCGGUGGUGAUGCUGAGCUCGGUGAGUGACCUGCUGACCUACAUCGAUGAGCAGCAGCUGACCCCGGAGCUCGGGGGCACCCUGGAGUACUGCCACAGCGAGUGGGUCAUCUUCAGGACGGCCAUCGAGAGUUUUGCGCUGACGGUGAAGGAAAUUGCCCAGAUGUUGCAGUGCUUUGGCACGGAGCUGGCAGAGACGGAGCUGCCGGAGGACAUGUACUCCAUCGAGCGCAUGCUGGCCCUGCGCACCGAGAGGUACUGCCAGCUCAAGGAAGAUAUUACAGCAGUCACAAAAGAGGGAAAGUUGCUUUUGAGCAGUUUUGAAGAGCCUGACUCUGGGGAAUGCAGUCAGGACCAGCAGCAAGAGAGGCCUGGGGACUGGGAGACUGUCAAUCGGUUGCUUGGUCAGCUGCGUGAGAUGGAGACUGCUUUUGAUGGCUUCUGGGAAAAACAUCAGUUAAAAAUGGAGCAAUAUUUACAACUCUGGAAAUUUGAGCAAAGCUUUCAAGAGGUCAAGAACGCCAUUGAGUUUUUAAUGGGUCAGCAAGCAGAGCUGCCCGACACUGGUGACAGCAUCCCCCAGGUGAAACAGAGGCUCAAGGACUUGGAUCAUUUCGAUGGCAUGGCUCAGGAUCUGAUAGGGAAGGCUCAGGUGGUGAUACUGCACGGCCACCAGCUCGCAGCCAACCAUCACUACGCCCUCAACCUGAUCUGCCAGCAGUGCAACGAGCUGCGGCACCACUGCGACCUCCUGGCUGACGACAUCAAAAGGAAGCAGAUGCGCCUGCAGAAGACCUUGGACCUUCACACCCGCCUUCAGCAGGCUCUGCAGUGCUGUGAUGAAGGUGCCUACCUGCUCGCCAACCAGCAGAUGGAUAAGUGCCAGUCCAAGGAAGGCGCUCAGAAAGCACUCCAGGACAUAGAAAGAUUUCUUGAAAACUCUUCAACCUACUUAAACUAUGAUCCCCAAGCCCUACACUACGAUUUUGAGUCAGUCUUAACAUCUGAGUUGAAGUGCCAGAUCCAGUCAGUGCAGGUGAAGCUGGAGAAUGUUCGCAGCAUGUUUGAGAACCGCCAGUCCUGCUUCAAGAAGCUGCUGGACAAACACGUGCGGCCCGUCCAGCUGGUGGCUCCUCGGCCAGAAACCCCACCCAGAUCAAAGUCACCCUUAUUCUCUCCUAAACACGGUGUAGAUUUUAAUUCCAGUUUGAAAUUUUCAUUUGAUCUCUCUCUCCCUGGGAAGAAAACUUCAAGAAAAACUCCAAGUUCUCGCAAGAUCGAAGUCAUGCACGACUACCAGGAGAAGCGGAAUUCCUUGCAGUAUUUCAUUUCAGACAGUGAUGACAGCUUAGAUAUACUGAAAGGUCAUGUCAUAAAUGAGCUCAUAGAAACAGAGAGAGUGUAUGUGGAGGAACUCUUCACUGUUUUGACGGGCUACAGAGCUGAGAUGGAUAAUCCUGCCAUGCUGAUGCUCCUGCCCCCCGUGCUGAGGAGCAGGAAGGACGUGCUCUUCGGAAACAUGCCCGAGAUCUAUGACUUCCACAACAAAAUCUUCCUGCACAGUUUGGAAAACUGCCUGGGAGCACCCGAGAGAGUGGGAUGUUGUUUCCUAGACAGGAGGGAGGAUUUCCAGAUGUAUGAGAAGUACUGCCAGAACAAGCCCCGCUCCGAGUCCCUGUGGAGGCAGUGCUCCGAGAGCGCCUUCUUCCAGGAAUGCCAAAGAAAAUUAGAACACAAACUGGGGCUGGAUUCCUAUCUGCUCAAACCAGUGCAGCGCCUGACAAAAUACCAGUUACUUCUGAAGGAGCUGCUAAAGUACAGCACGAGCUGUGAUGGAGUUCAGGAACUUCAAGAAGCUCUGGUUGCGAUGCUGGAUUUGCUGAAGUCAGUCAAUGACUCCAUGCAUCAGAUUUCAAUCACAGGAUACGAUGGUGACCUGAGCGAACUGGGGAAGGUAUUGAUGCAGGGAUCUUUCAGUGUUUGGACAGGACACCGAAAAGGGCCAACAAAAAUGAAGGAUCUGGCCAGGUUCAAGCCCAUGCAGAGGCACCUGUUUCUGUAUGAGAAAGCUUUGGUCUUCUGCAAGAAGCGAGAGGAGCACGGAGAUGGAUAUGACAAAACCUCAUCUUACAGCUUUAAGCACUUCCUGAAAAUGAAUGCAGUUGGAAUAACUGAGAAUGUGAAAGGAGAUCAUCGGAAGUUUGAGAUCUGGUACAGCGGGCGAGAAGAGGUUUAUGUGGUGCAGGCCCAAACAGUAGAUCUGAAAAUGGCAUGGUUGAAUGAAAUAAGAAAAAUUUUGUUCAAGCAGCAAGAGCUUAUAAAAGCAGUGGAGAAGCAGCAGCCUGGCUCGUGCUCGGAGCUGCCACUGUCCUCGCAGCUGGGUGACAGGAAGCAGCAGAGAGCCUCCAUCAGCUCCGAAGAGAACGACUCUGAGCGCAGCAGCCCGGUGAUGCUGGACAGCGGCCUGGUGUCCCCCCAGAACAAGCCCCACAGAAGCUGGCCAGGAAUGUCCCAGUCGCUGGAGAUCUGCGAGGGGCUGGAGGAGUGGUCGGGCCACCAGUACCUGUCCAACUGCUCAGACACCGAGGAGGAGGAUGGGAACCAGCUGUCUCCAGGAAAAUACAAAGCCCUUGCAGACUGCAAGAGGAGAGGAUCAGAGGAUCUGCUGGUGAAAAACGGGGAUGAAAUUCAGCUCUUGCAUGAAGAUGGUGAGGGACAGUGGUUGGUGAAAAACCUAAACAGAAGAAAAGAAGGCUGGAUUCCUGUGCACAGUCUGCAGAUUGUAGUCGGUGACUGCAGAUUUCGGAAUGCCAAAGUUGCAGAUUUCAUUGCAAGAGCACUGGGUAGAAGACCGGGGAGAAGAGAUGGAGUCUGACCAGGGAUCCCCGUGACUGUUUUGCCUCCUCACUGCUGUAGCUCAAACCCCGUGUGAACAGGAGGUACCUGAGCAAAAUCCCCUCCUGCUGCAAAAGACAUCGUGGCCUGACCCCAGCACUAAAGGCAAUACUUCCUCCUUGCUGCCUCUCUCCUGCCCUCACUGCUGCCUGCUGGUUAAUCCAUCCUUAGAUAAAGUUUAUAACAAACAGCUUUCCAGGUUUCAGCCAAAGGCUUAGAGGCUCCAAACCCACAUUUCUCAUUUUCUAGCUGUACCUGUACAUAGAAAUAGAUAGGGAAGCAUAAGAGACGACACAAGAAAAUGCCUUAAGAGCAGCCUGUUGCCCUUGCCACAGCAUCACCACAACCAUUGUUGCCUCAUCACCAUGCUGUCCUCUGCAGAUGGAGACCAGGGUUGGAGAUGGAGCAGCUCAGGAAGCCCACAUAGACUUAGCCCAUUAAAAAAAUAAAAAAAUACUAGUUAUGACUGUAUGAAGCAAAUUUUGCAAGGAGAUUUCUCUUUAAAUACUUCUUUUCUGUCAGAAUCUAUUAUUUUGAUGAAUGUGAAGGAAGCCAUCUGAAAGGCUUAAAAUUCCAGUCAGCUCACAAUGGGUUUUUGUAUAUUUUCAGUGAAAUCCUUCCCAUACAGGAAGGUUUUUUUAUCCCCUUUGUUGCAGGGCAGUUGAAUUUCACAGGUUGAAGGUUUGCUGACUUUCUGUAAGGGGUAGUUUGCUAACCAGUGUUCAGAGUUUACUGGCACCCUGUUUCCAGUGCAGUAAUGGCAACCUUGAUCUCCUCUCUGUGUUUAGCUACCCCACCUCACCAGCUCCUGUGCUGAAGGGUUUUCCAGCUGGGAAUGCAUCUCAGAAAAAGGGUGCUGGGAAACUUUGAGCUCUGGUUUGCACUGUCAGUGCUCAGAUCCACAAAAACCUGGAGACUGUCAGCUCUAGACUGGUUUAUAAAGCUGCUGGGUAGAGGCUGAGGGGAAUUGCACGGGGUGGAACCACAGAGAAUGCCUCCUGUGAGUGCCACAGCAGUGCCCAGGCACUCCAGAGCCGUGUCCCAGGGCUGAGCACACUCAGCCUGUGUCCCCUGUGAAGGUAACUGGUCUCUCUUGCUGUUUCUGCUCAUGCCUGCAGGCCAGAGGCAUGAUUCCAGUCUUACACACCCCAGGAAAUACUGGGGGCUGAUGUAGGAUGUUCUCUUGCUGUUUCCUAGAGCUAUUCCCAGAGCUUUUCAGCAAUGUGUCCUUACAGCCAGGAGCAGCUGGCACUCUGUAAACUGAUUUUCACACAGUUCUUGUGCAGUGAGCACUGCCUUUGCCCUGGGGCUGGUCACUUCCCUGCAGGUGACACCGAGUCCUUGGCAGUGUCUGGACUGGGUUCUUUCCUGCUGCUUCAGAAGAUGGAGCUCUUGCUCCAGAAUAGCAGAGGGAGAAUCAAGCCAAGCUCGUGGAGUGAAGCAGGGACAGGAGGGGGUGUCAGAACCCUCAGGGAUCAUCAGCUGGGUGUGCUGAAACGCUGCUGUGCAUGUUGGCAGUGUAAAACCCACUGAGCUGUGGGAUCCCCAGGGGCUUGGGGAGUGUUGGAGUCACUUCAGGGCUGGGGGAGAGGCAGUUCUGGCAUUUCAUGGGAGCAGUGCCUCUCUUAUUGCUCAGCUCCAGGUUCCCCUAAAUAAAACUCCAUGGCCAGCCACAGAAUAUCAUAGCAGAAUUCAUACAAAUCUGGGGUUUGGGAUUUUUUUCAGAGCAAAGCCUUUAGCUGAAUAGAGUAAAUGGUUCUCUUACCUUCACAUUUCUCCUUAGAUUUAUACUGUGGCCCACCACAGGAUGGCUGCUACCUGCAUGCCUACAAGCUGUUCCUCUCCCCUCCUGCUAAUUAGUCCAUAAAUAUAAUAAAUAAUUAGUAUUAUAUGUGUUGAGCCAAUACAAAUCGUAUUGAAGUUACAGGGAACGUUUUGCUGUCCAUUUUAAGUUAGCAGAGGGGUAUUUGGUAAAUGCUUCACUCCCCAGCCAUUCCAGCUUUGCAAAUCCACUCUCCUCUUGUAAAUCCUGGCCUGGAUGGAAGCCAUGAGGUUCUCUGGGAGAAAGGUGGCUGGCUUGGAGAUGGUUUUGAAAAUGGGUUUUCCUUCUGAUGUGCCUCUAGCUGUAAGGUCUGAGAUGAGUCCUUGCUGCUUUCUUCCAAACACAUUCAUUCUGUCUGCUGUGCAAACCCACGGUGGGAUUUUUUAAUGUGCACGGCGAAGGAACAGUUUUGUAUUGCAGGUGGUAACAUGCAGAGCUCAAAAUGAAAAAUAUUUGGGAGAGCUGUGCUCAGAAAGAGCAAUACUCAGAAUGCAGCUACUGCUGAGGCUCUGUGUUGUGCCUUGCAAGUGGUCAGGCAUUGCCUGGUUAACUGACUUGGCUUUUCCACGAGUUAACACGGAGAUGCAGGAUUAUCUCUUCAUUUCAGGGAAGGUUGGGGCUCCAGCAUUGCAAUCCCAGCUCCUCCUCUGCACUGGAGCAGGAGACAAAAGAGUUCUGCAGGUCCCUGGGUGGCCAGUGUGGCAGGGAUCAGGCUUGGCAGCUCUGUGGCAGUGCAGGGAAGGGCAUCUCAGCUCUCAGCUGCCCUGCAGCACCCAUGGCAGGGAUUGGAACCAGGUUAUUUUUGGAGUCUCUUCCUGCCCCGGGUGGGCACAGGCUCCUGUUCUACAUGCCAGACUCUCUGCUCGUUUCUUUAACAUCCCAAAUUCUCUCUUCCAAGCCUUAGGGGGAUUCCCUGUGCCUGCUCUCCAUGCCUGAUAAAGCUGAGCAAAGGUUUCCCCCCAGUCACACUGCCUGAAGGUCUGAGCUUGUGUGUCCUGUGUCCCCUCUGGGCAGGGCACUGGGGACUGUCCUGUGUCCCCUCUGGGACUGGCACUGGGGACUGUCCUGUGUCCCCUCUGGGACUGUCCUGUGUCCCCUCUGGGGAGGACACUGGGGACUGUCCUGUGUCCCCUCUGGGACUGUCCUGUGUCCCCUCUGGGACUGUCCUGUGUCCCCUCUGGGGAGGACAUUG